UCUGAUGUCAGCUUAGCAGAGAGGUCUGUAGUGGGACAGGCUCCCUGGAAGUAAAGGGAGAGGGUUUCUCCUCAGCCUCACCAGAGCCUUUGCCGGGCAGGGCAAUUCCUACCCAUCUCCACAUUCUCGUGAACUUUGUGUCAUCAGCCUUCUUCGACUUGACGUCGUCACGGCUCUUUCCCCCGUGGAGCUCGCCUUCAGGUCCGGAGCUGUAGCUGCAGUCACCUGGCAGUCCGCUUCCUUCUCUAGGCUUGCUGAGCCUCUCGAGCAUCCUCCUAACUGCUUUGGCCCUAACUUCCUUUAAUGAGUUGCAUUUCAUCAUCACGUGCUGUUGUCAUAGGGCUUCCUUUCCCUUGGCCUCAUUGGCCUCUGGCUCGUCUUGUGCUAGGACUCUCGGGUCCCUAAAGGGAAAGUGCCAAGCAGUUGCAACUUGUCUCUGUGUUAUGUCAUCUGUGUCUAUGUUAUGGUGUGUGUGUCCAUUGUCUUCCACGGCAUAGGCCUUUGUUACAUCUCAAUGCUUUAUCGGCUCUCUUCUGUGCCAUGUUCUACUCACAUUCCUUGCCGGAUAUCCCUUAUUCCAGCAUCUUUACAUUUUUACUCUUUGAGACAGGAAUGUCUCACAGGGACAAGAUGUUCUCAUCCAUCUUCCUUCUCACUAUCAGCUUUGGUAGUGCUUUUUUUUCUUGGACUUCUAGAGGGAGCAUCUUACACCCUCCUCACGUGACUGCAGUAGUUCUAUAGGUUCCAUCUUCUCAAAGGGUACAGGGCUCAAUAAGUAAUCUUCCAGAGAGUUUUCUUAAGUCGUGGUUUAUAUUGUAUGUUCCUAUGUUGGCUUAUAUUGUAUGUACUUACAUACAGUAUAAGUACGUACAGUAUAAGCCAGCAUAGGUACAUGCAAUGUAAGUGCAUUGCCUUAUAUUGUCUGUACUUACACUGCAUGUAAGCAUGUCGCCUUAUAUUGUGUGUACUUACACUCUGUGUACACUUGCACUGUAUGCGUCAGCUUACAUUGUGUGUAGACUGUACCACUUAUGAUCGGAGCUGCCCUGCCCUGGCACAUAGUCACAGUUAGGUAGAACAGUUAUAACAACUUUACUGUUCAUCUGUCUUUUGUGGGAUUUUGGGUAGAAAAUUCAUCAGUCCAGAGUGGGGACAAGUCCUAGCUGUCAGAUAGCCACUUGUUGACCCUUCCUGUUGUCUCACAGGUCCCCGAGGCUGCUGAUUUCCCCAGGAUCUGCCAUUUAGCUCAAGGAGCGGCAGCCAGAAGAUGUGUCAAAGCACCUUCUUCAGCAUCUCAGGGAAGGGCCACAGUGAGCGUGUUUUGCAACUCAUUGUUAAAUUGAGAAUAAAAAAUCCCCAGCUGCCUUCCA